rnacentral:rRNA from 1 species
CAGUCGCCGCGGUAAUACAGAGGGUGCGAGCGUUAAUCGGAUUUACUGGGCGUAAAGCGUGCGUAGGCGGCUUCUUAAGUCGGAUGUGAAAUCCCUGAGCUUAACUUAGGAAUUGCAUUCGAUACUGGGAAGCUAGAGUAUGGGAGAGGAUGGUAGAAUUCCAGGUGUAGCGGUGAAAUGCGUAGAGAUCUGGAGGAAUACCGAUGGCGAAGGCAGCCAUCUGGCCUAAUACUGACGCUAAGGUACGAAAGCAUGGGGAGCAAACAGGAUUAGAUACCCCUGUAGUCCCUGUCUCUUAUAC